UAUUAUAUUAUUAUUAUUAUUAUUAUUAUUAUUAUUAUUAUUAUUAUCAUCGUCGUCGGCGUUCGGUGAUAAUCGACGCUAUUGCGACUACGGUAUUCUAUACCCGCUUACCCUUUCUCCGCGUACGCGAAUGAUAAUAACGUUUAUUAAUUCGACAAUUUGUUAAUCCGGACUCGGAAUUGUAUUUUUUUUUUUUCUCAUUUAGACUAUUAUUAUUAUUAUUAUUAUUAUUAUUAUUAUAAUGUAAUUGUAGGUAAUAUAUUAUUAUUAUUGUACAGUUAUGUAGGUUUGUAAAAAUAGACGUUGUAACAUAGUAU